CGUAGGGUGCGAGCGUUAAUCGGAAUUACUGGGCGUAAAGUGUGCGCAGGUGGCUGAGCAAGUCGAGUGUGAAAUCCCCGGGCUUAACUUGGGAAUUGCGCUCGAAACUACUUGGCUCGAGUGUGGCAGAGGAAGGUGGAAUUCCAGGUGUAGCGGUGAAAUGCGUAGAGAUCUGGAGGAACACCGAUGGCGAAGGCAGCCUUCUGGGCCAACACUGACGCUCAUGCACGAAAGCGUGGGGAGCAAACAGGAUUAGAUACCCUGGUAGUCCACGCCCUAAACGAUGAUGACUAGUGGUUGGGGGAGUUAAAUCCCUUAGUAACGCAGCUAACGCGUGAAGUCAUCCGCCUGGGGAGUACGGUCGCAAGAUUA
rnacentral:rRNA from 1 species